AAGUAGCUAGCGUUAAUGUAAUAGAGUAACUAGCUAGCCAUUGAGUGUUGAAUGUUUACCAGUUAACGUUAGCUAGCCAUAGUUGUGCAAGGCUAACCUUAUCUCUGUCAGUCGUUUCUUCUCAUGAGAUAGUUAUUGAGCAGUUUGUAAGGGAUAUGUUGUCAAUUUCACCAGGGUUUUAAAAUAUACUUUCACCGGCAAACGUUAGCUAGCCUAGGCUAAUGUGUCUGCCGCUGCAGCAAAGCAGAAAUGCUAGAAACUCAGCCAGUCAGGCACUGCUCUCUUCCUGGGUAAUAGCAACAAUCUAGCUAGCACAGCUAGAAGUCAAAGUUGUGUAUAUACAAGCCAAGAGUUGCAUACUUCUGCAGACCCAGAAACAGAAGCAACUCUUCAAUUGUAGCUAGUUUAUGCUAUUAUUGUAAUACCAGGUGGAUAGCUUGUUACAUUGAGGUCAGUGGUCUGCCGAACAGUAUCACGAGUUCUUAUUUUGGUGCUGCUAUUAAUCUCUGGUGGACAGAUGAAACGGCGAGAAUCUGUCAACGCUCACGACGUAUAAUUGUGUAAUUUAUGAGCAGUAGUAGUUUGUGGUUUUCUUCCAUUAUUUGGACGAAUCAGGAUUUGGCAAAGGCGGUGCUUAAACUAGUGCGGUGGUUUCCAAGCCCUUGUGCAGACGAUAGACGGAUUCUUCAGCCCAAAAUUGCUUUAGUGUGGCCAGGGAGUUGACAUAUGACGCCUCCUUGCGGCCAUGUUGUAAAACCACACAAUCAAUUCUUUCGACCACAUCUGAGAGGCUACCCCAAGCUGCGUGCUAACGGUUCCUAAAACUAGUUGAUUCAUCACCACAGUCCAUUUCUGUGCUGUAUUUGGUUGCUCUAACAAGGUACAAAAGACAACGGGAAAAUACAACGAGAUAAGACUCAAGAACUGUCAGAAAAGCGAAGAAACCUUUUUGCCCGUCAAGACCGGAACCAACUGGUUCACCAGCUGACCUCUAUCAAGACACCCAUGUUGACUGGAUUCAUCUAUGAAGAUGAGCAAUGCUGCAGCAUCAGUUUCUCCUUUACUAAUUUGUCCUUUUCCAGAUAUGAAAGGAGACAAUCCCUCAGUUACAGUGCAUUUGGAAAGUAUUCAGACCCCAUUACUUUUUCCACAUUUUGUUACAUUACAGCCUUAUUCUAACAUGGAUUUAAAAACAUAAAUCCUCAUCAAUACCCCAUAAUGACAAAGUGAAACAGGUUUAGAAAGCUUUACAAAUUGUAUAAAAAAUAUAUAUAAUUAUUCAGAGCCUUUGCUAUGAGACUUGAAAUUGAGCUCAGGUGCAUCCUGUUGCCAUUGAUCAUCCUUGAAAUGUUUCUGCAACUUGAUUCGAGUCAACCUGUGGUAAAUUAGAUUGAUUGAACAUUAUUUGGAAAGGCACACACCUGUCUAUAUAAGGUCUCACAGUUGACAGUGCAUGUCAGAGCAAAAACCAAGCCAUGAGGUCGAAGGAAUUGUCUGUAGAGCCCCGAGACAGGAUUGUGUCGAGGCACAAGUCUGGUGAAAGAUACCAAAAAUUGUCUGCAGCAUUGAACAGUGGCCUCCAUUAUUCUUAAAUGGAAGAGCUGGGCCCCCCGGCCAAACUGGGCAAUCGGGGAAGAAGGGCCUUUGUCAGGGAGGUGACCCAAGAACCCGAUGGUCACUCUGACAGAGCUCCAGAAUCCUCUGUGGAGAUGGGAGAAUCUUCUAGUAGGACAAUCAUCUUUGCAGCACUCCACCAAUCAGGCCUUUAUGGUAGAGUGGCCAGACCGAAGCCACUCCUCAGUAAAAGGCACAUGAUAGCCUGCUUGGUUUUGCCAAAAAAGCACUUAAAGGAUUGACCAUGAGAAACAAAAUGCUCUUGUCUGAUCAAACCAAGAAUUAACUCUUUGGCCUGAAUGCCAAGCAUCACAUCUGGAGUAAACAUGACACCAUCUCUACGGUGAGGCAUGGUGGUGACAGCAUCAUGCUGUGGGGCUGUUUUUCAGCGACAGGGACUGGGAGACUAGUCAGGAAUGAGGGAAAGAUGAAUGGGGGCAAAGUACAGAGAGAUCCUUGAUGAGAACCUGCUCCAGAGCACUCAGGACCUCAGGCUGGGGUGAUUGUUCACCUUCCAACAGGACAACGACCCUAAGCGCACAGCCAGUACAACGACCCUAAGCACACAGCCAGGACAACGACCCUAAGCACACAGCCAGGACAACGACCCUAAGCACACAGCCAGGACAACGCAGUAGUGGCUUCGGGACAAGUCUCUGAUUGUCUUUGUGGCCCAGCCAGAGCUCAGACUUGAACCCAAUCUCAGGGAAGCACAAAUACAUGCUCAUCCUCACCAGGGUCUUAACCUGACUGCAGUUUGGCGUCAUAACUGACUUCAUUGGGCAAAUGCUCACCUUCGAUGGCCACUGGCACACUGGAGAAGUGUGCUCUUCAUGGAUGAAUCCCGGUUUUGUGUGGGCUAGCGGUUUUCUGAUGUCACCAUGAUGCCCUAUGGUGGGGUUAUGGCAAACUACAGACAAUGAACACACUUGCAUUUUAUCAAUGGGAAUUUGAAGGCACAGAGAUACCGUUACGAGAUCCUGAGGCCCAUUGUCGUGCCAUCUGCUGCCAUCACCUCAUGUUUCAGCAUGAUAAUGCAUGGCCCCAUGUCGCAAGGAUCUGUACACAAUUCCUGGAAGCUGAAAAUGUCCCAGUUCUUCCAUGACCUGCAUACUCACCAGACAUGUCACCCAUUAAGCAAGUGUGGGAUGCUCUGGAUCAACAUGUACGACAACGUGUUCCAGUUCCUGCCAAUAUCCAGCAUCUUCGCACAGCAAUUGAAGAGUGGGACAACAUUCCACAAUCAACAGCUUGAUCAACUCUAUGGCAAGUGGUCACACCAGAUACUGACUGGUUUUCUUGUCCACACCCAUACAUAUAUAUAUAUUUUUAAAGGUAUCUGUGACCAACAGCUGCAUAUCUGUAUUCCCAGUCAUGUGAAAUCCAUAGAUUAGGGCCUAAUGAAUUUAUUUAAAUUGACUGAUUUCCUUAUAUGAACUGUAACUCAGUAAAAUCUUUGAAAUUGUUGCAUUCAUUUUUGUAAAGUGUAAAUGCAAUUGUGUUUUAAAAAGUUUUGGCCACGAUUAAAAAUAGCUUUUUAUUAAGAAGACCGGCUUCAUCAGCACGACACACCACUUUGCAAUGAGCUGGAGGCAGUAUGCAUUUUGAAAACAUAUAGCUACUUAAAAAAAAGUGAAACCUGAACGUUUUACUAUAUAUUAUGAGGCAUGUUUUACCUUGCUUUCAAAGUAGCCUAGGCAAAAUCCGACCAUAUCAGGGAAUGCAAUUAUUUUAUAAAGAUUCCCAUAUGCCAUUGAAACCACUAGGCUAUUUCUCUCAUGUUCUAUUGGUUUUCAACGUUCAUUGUCCUGUAGCCAAAUGCACACUUGCAUGUUCCAUACUGCCUUGUGUGCUUUGCUAUAAUAAUAAUAAAUAAUAGUUUAUCAACAUUUUAAGCUUAAACGUUCUGAGCUGUUACGUCAGAUUCUUUGCUUAAUUUUUUAUUAUGUACCUUGGCCUACUGGUUGUAUGAAUUUGGGAUCUAUCUUCUCACAGCUGUCCCCAGAGUCUGUUUGGGCUGUCUCUUUCACGACAAGCUGACCGAUUGACAUAGGCGCCGCGUCCAUAAGGCUAGGGGAAGCUUUCCCUAAGUAAAUUGCCAAACUGAUAUAGCCUAAUUUAGCCUACAGUACUCCUGUCUAUACAUAAAUAAAUAAAAUAGGCUACUAAAGCAUGAUUUGGGCACAGGGGAUCAUUAGCUUCCCCUAGCCUUAAACAAAAAUAAGCUGUGGAUUGUUUUAAAUCACAUGGCCUACAGUCCGGAAGGAAAGGCAGCGCACGCAGCAAAUACUUAAUAGAUAAUUGUUGAGUUGCGACUCUCCGUGAAAAGUAGAGGCCCAGCCAGCCAGGCAUAUCGCAAUAUAAAUAAAUUGUGGGAAAGCCAUUUGCUUUCCAAACAAUGUUAUUGCUGUAAAGUUAAGACCAUUUUUAAAAUACGAAGCUAACUCAACUUAAUUGAGUUAACAGUAGGCCUAUCUUAUUGGCACCAGCGAAGAGCAUCAGCCAUAGCCCCCGGUGAGUGCGCACUGCGCAUGUUCACUCUAUCAUUGUUAGGUCAGUGCCACAUAAGUUUGUUUUUAGACAAUAUUUUCCUCCAUUUCUCGUAGGCCUAUUAUAUGAUCUGUUUGUCAGUGUCAGCAGAUUAGGCUACCCUGUAAAUUGUCAUAUUAAAAAAAGAUUCUGCUCAUGUCUACCAGUCAUGAAGUGUAGUAGAAUUGCUUGAAAUGUAUUUUUCCUGUGCGAAGAAAGAAGAAACGUAUGUUAUAGCCCAGGGCUAUACGCGCUCAGUCAAUCAUUGAACAGACUUUUUUUGCAAACUGUGAAUGAGUUCUAUUGUUAGCCUGGCUAAAUGCAGUGGUUAAUUUGAGCCAGAUCCUUCCGGAACAGGACAGUUUCGUUCCGGAAACUAUUUGACCGGAUCUGGUACCUCUACAUGAGAGAAAAAAAGUCAUUGUUUUCAAUGUAAAAAAUUAUAAUAAAAGCAACCAGAGCUCA